rnacentral:rRNA from 1 species
AGCGUUAUCGGAUUACUGGGCGUAAGGGCGCGUAGGCGGUUAUUUAAGUUAGAUGUGAAAUCCCUGGGCUUAACCUAGGAACUGCAUCUGAUACUGGAUGGCUGGAGUGUAGUAGAGGGUAGUGGAAUUUCCGGUGUAGCGGUGAAAUGCGUAGAUAUCGGAAGGAACACCAGUGGCGAAGGCGGCUACCUGGACUAACACUGACGCUGAGGCGCGAAAGCGUGGGGAUCAAACAGGAUUAGAUACCCUGGUAGUCCACGCUGUAAACGAUGAGAACUAGAUGUUGGUAGGCAUGACCUAUUAGUAUCGAAGCUAACGCGAUAAGUUCUCCGCCUGGGGAGUACGGCCGCAAGGCUAAAACUCAAAGGAAUUGACGGGGGCCCGCACAAGCGGUGGAGCAUGUGGUUUAAUUCGAUGCAACGCGAAGAACCUUACCUACCCUUGACAC